GAACAGGCUGCCCAUCCCCCUGAGUCUCAAAUGCCUCUGCACACAGGGUUCAUUCUGAUGAACAUAAACAUGCCUCCAAAUGUCUCAAGGUAUCUGGGAGAUGGAUCCCCGUACACUCCUGUACCUACAUCUGUCACUGUAAAUCCUUGUUGUUAAUACAGAUGCAGUUGGCCUAAUGAGUCUGGUUACCUGUCUGUUGUGCAGUCAUGGUUCCAGCAGGGAGACACUUGCCUGAAGGGUCCCUUCUGGAAUCUUCCAGCAGGAGGCUGUGGGAUCUUACCAAGCCAGAAGCUGAGACUCUUGGGGACUCUGCAAGCCACUGAGUCAACACAAAUAAAAUCAUUCGUUACUCCA